GAGCAGUGAUGAACAUGGAUUUGCCUGACUAUUAAAAAAAUGAAGGCUUCUACACUUGAACUGAGCUCA
ensembl:snoRNA